rnacentral:rRNA from 1 species
GGCUUAGAAGCAGCCACUCAUUCAAAGAGUGCGUAAUAGCUCACUGGUCGAGUGAGGGUGCGCCGAAGAUUACCGGGGCUAAAACUUGCCACCGAAGUUUAGGGAUGCAGUUUACUGCAUCGGUAGAGGAGCAAUGUAUGCGGGCAGAAGCGAUAUCGUAAGGGGUCGUGGACUGCAUACAAGAGAGAAUGCCGGCAUAAGUAGCGCGAGCAAAGUGAGAAUCUUUGCCGUCGAAUGCCUAAGGUUUCCUGGGGAAGGUUCGUCCUCCCAGGGUAAGUCGGGACCUAAGCCGAGGCCGAAAGGCGUAGGUGAUGGACAACAGGUAGAUAUUCCUGUACCGCCAAAUGACGCUUAAAUGAGGCAAUGACACAGUAGGAUAGUCAAUCCGCGGCGUUGGAUUGCUGCGGCCAAAUCAUGAGGCUGAUGUGUAGUGAAGUACGCACAUCGUCAGGCUAGGUGAUGAUGGGGAGUGAAAACUAGUAACGAAGUUGAUGAAUUCACACUGGCGAGAAAAGUUGCUAAAUAUGUUGUUAGGCGCCCGUACCGCAAACCGACACAGGUAGGCGAGGAGAAAAUCCUAAGACGGACGGGAGAACCCUUGUUAAGGAACUCUGCAAAAUUACCCCGUAACUUCGGGAGAAGGGGAGCCUGCUUUGCAGGCCGCAGUGAAGAGGCCCAAGCGACUGUUUACCAAAAACACAGGUCUCUGCUAAAUCGAAAGAUGAAGUAUAGGGGCUGACGCCUGCCCAGUGCUGGAAGGUUAAGGGGAUGUGUUAGCGCAAGCGAAGCACGGAACUUAAGCCCCAGUGAACGGCGGCCGUAACUAUAACGGUCCUAAGGUAGCGAAAUUCCUUGUCGGGUAAGUUCCGACCCGCACGAAUGGCGUAACGACUUGGGCGCUGUCUCAACAGGGGACCCGGCGAAAUUGUACUAUACGUGAAGAUGCGUAUUACCCGCGACUGGACGGAGAGACCCCGUAGAGCUUUACUGUAGCUUGAUAUUGGAAUUCGGUAAUUUAUGUACAGGAUAGGUGGGAGACUUGGAAACAUGGGCGUCAGCUCAUGCGGAGUCAACCUUGGGAUACCACCCUUGAAUUAUUGGGUUUCUAACACCAGACCGUAAUCCGGCUGGUGGACAGUGUCAGGUGGGCAGUUUGACUGGGGCGGUCGCCUCCCAAAAUGUAACGGAGGCGUUCUAAGGUUCCCUCAGGAUGGUUGGAAAUCAUCCAAAGAGCGUAAAGGUAGAAGGGAGCUUAACUGCGAGACAGACAUGUCGAGCAGAUACGAAAGUAGGACUUAGUGACCCGGCGGUUGAGUAUGGAAUUGCCGUCGAUUAACGGAUAAAAGUUACCUCGGGGAUAACAGGCUUAUCUCCCCCAAGAGUUCACAUCGACGGGGAGGUUUGGCACCUCGAUGUCGGCUCGUCACAUCCUGGGGCUGUAGUCGGUCCCAAGGGUUCGGCUGUUCGCCGAUUAAAGUGGCACGCGAGCUGGGUUCAGA